rnacentral:rRNA from 1 species
GUCCACACGGUAACGAUGGAUACUCGCUGUUGGCGAUAUACUGUCAGCGGCCAAGCGAAGCAUUAAGUAUCCCACCUGGGAGUACGCCGGCAACGGUGAACUCAAAGGAAUUGACGGGGCCCGCACAAGCGGAGGAACAUGUGGUUUAAUUCGAUGAUACGCGAGGAACCUUACCCGGGCUUAAAUUGCAGACGAAUUACGAGGAAACUUGUAAGCCGCAAGGCGUCUGUGAAGGUGCUGCAUGGUUGUCGU